rnacentral:rRNA from 1 species
AUUGAACGCUGGCGGCAUGCCUUACACAUGCAAGUCGAACGGUAACAGCACUUCGGUGGCUGACGAGUGGCGAACGGGUGAGUAAUACAUCGGAACGUGCCCGAGAGUGGGGGAUAACGCAGCGAAAGCUGUGCUAAUACCGCAUACGAUCUACGGAUGAAAGCAGGGGAUUCGCAAGGACCUUGCGCUCAUGGAGCGGCCGAUGGCAGAUUAGGUAGUUGGUGGGAUAAAAGCUUACCAAGCCGACGAUCUGUAGCUGGUCUGAGAGGACGACCAGCCACACUGGGACUGAGACACGGCCCAGACUCCUACGGGAGGCAGCAGUGGGGAAUUUUGGACAAUGGGCGAAAGCCUGAUCCAGCCAUGCCGCGUGCAGGAUGAAGGCCUUCGGUU